GAUAAAUUUAGAUUAUAAUCUUAUUUAUUAUUAUAUUCUAUGGUGGUGGCACAAAAUCGGAGGCCCCGACUGUUUACUAAAAACACAAUUCAGAGCAAUGAUGUAAAUCAUAGUAUUCUGGAUGAAAUUUGCCCGAUGCCAUUAACAUAAAAGAGGUAAUGGGAAACUGUUACUAAUUGAAAGUCUGGUUAAUAGCGGUCUUAAUCAUGAGGAUCCUAAGGUAGCAAAAUCAGUUGGCCAUUAAAUGUGGUCUGGUAUCAAUAGUGUAACGAUGGUCUCACUGUCUCUACAACUUGCUCAGUGAAAUUGAAUUACCCGUGCAGAUGCGGUUACCUCCAGGUGGAC
rnacentral:rRNA from 1 species